GCCCCCCAGGCCGACAGACCAGGUGCCUUCCAAACACUUGGCCGCAGGUCCGAGCCCUGCCGGGGGCGCCA
rnacentral:tRNA from 1 species